GGAGAGGUGUCCGAGUGGCCGAAGGAGCUCCCCUGCUAAGGGAGUAUAGAGUUUGUAGCUCUAUCGAGGGUUCGAAUCCCUCCUUCUCCACCA
rnacentral:tRNA from 19 species